UCAAUAGGGCUUACUUCUGGAUAAGCUAAGCAUGGCCAGGAGGAUGCUGCCAAAAUCCCCAGGCUCUGCUUGAAAAGAAAGCUGCUCAUGUUCUGCUGCUCUGCUUCUUCGGAAGGCAACAAAAGAGAGGGUCAAGAGGAACGCCGACAUCCCUAUGUACUUACUAAGCAACCUAUUGCUGCAGUCAAGGAAUGCUUUCUAAGGCUAUAUACACUUUGGGGGUUUAAAACACAAUGAGGUUGUUUCUCCCCUGCUGCAUUUUAAGUUCCAUUUGCAUGCUGUUGUACACAACAGAGAGGAUAGCUUCACCUGACGUGCAUUACCUGCUUGGCUUCCCUGCCCCUGAUACCCCAGCACCUCCUGUUCAUGAAACUGUCUUCUGCACAUAGAAAACGGAUCAGACAGAAGGUGAUGUAAAAGUCCUCUGCUCAACACCAGUCAAAGCCAGCCAGAGGAGAUAAAGCCAGGUUAGAUGAAAAGGUAACCUGACUUCAGAAAGUGAUUUCAUUGGCCUCUUUGAGAAAAGGAAUUCAUGUUGGUUGGCUG